UACGUAGGGGGCAAGCGUUGUCCGGAUUUAUUGGGCGUAAAGAGCGUGUAGGCGGCCAUACAGGUCCGUUGUGAAAACUGGAGGCUUAACCUCCAGACGUCGAUGGAAACCGUAUGGCUAGAGUCCGGAAGAGGAGAGUGGAAUUCCUGGUGUAGCGGUGAAAUGCGCAGAUAUCAGGAGGAACACCAGUGGCGAAGGCGACUACCUGGCCUGUUCUUGACGCUGAGGCGCGAAAGCUAGGGGAGCAAACGGG
rnacentral:rRNA from 1 species